rnacentral:rRNA from 1 species
AUUGAACGCUGGCGGAAUGCUUUACACAUGCAAGUCGAACGGCAGCACGGGAGCUUGCUCCUGGUGGCGAGUGGCGAACGGGUGAGUAAUGCGUCGGAACGUACCGAGUAAUGGGGGAUAACGCGGCGAAAGUCGCGCUAAUACCGCAUACGCCCUGAGGGGGAAAGCGGGGGAUCGCAAGACCUCGCGUUAUUCGAGCGGCCGACGUCUGAUUAGCUAGUUGGUGGGGUAAAGGCUCACCAAGGCGACGAUCAGUAGCGGGUCUGAGAGGAUGAUCCGCCACACUGGGACUGAGACACGGCCCAGACUCCUACGGGAGGCAGCAGUGGGGAAUUUUGGACAAUGGGGGCAACCCUGAUCCAGCCAUUCCGCGUGAGUGAAGAAGGCCUUCGGGUUGUAAAGCUCUUUCAGCUGGAGCGAAACGGUACGCUCUAACAUAGCGUGCUAAUGACGGUACCAGCAGAAGAAGCACCGGCUAACUACGUG